rnacentral:rRNA from 1 species
UUCCCCCCACCCCCUCAUGUCGCGACCCCGGCUGGCCAACGACCUCUGCGCGCCGCGGAUCCCCCGGUGGCCCCUCUUCUUCUCAAAUCUCGCCCCCACCCACCACAAACUGCGACCGGCCACCAUCGCCCCAUCACAUCCCGCUCCGCCGCCCGCCAAACGUCCCACCCCGCCGUGGUGCACCGUCCCACCGCACCUCGCCCCGCCGCAGCCCGCUGUCCCAGCAUCGCUGCACCCCUGCUCCGACCACCUUCCCCGCGAGUGCCGCCCCAGCCACCCCCACUUCCAACGCGCACUACACCGGCUCGAUCCGGCCGGCAACCACGCUGUAUCUCCCCGACGAGCAACUCCCACAUCCACAUCGCCGCGCUGCCAUGGGGAUUGGAGGUAUUGGAUGGUGCUCAGGUGGCAGAUCCCGUAGGUUCGCCUCCUCUCUUCGCGGAGCUCGAGCGCAACAGGGCCGACAGUGGCUACCUUCUGCCCUCCUGCCCAUCUUGCUUGGGAUCCCAUGCGAGGAAGGUCAACGGCAGGUCGCUAGUCUCCUUCCCCUCCUACAGGUCGCCGCCGUAGCCCAUGCCUCCCGCGGUGGACGGGGUCGGUGCUGGUCCUGGCAUCGUUGCCUGAGGUCGUGGUCGCUCUGUCGUGGCAGCCGUCUUGCGGCUCGGUGCAGAAUUUCAUCUUGCAGUCCACAUGGAGGACACACGCGGGGCAAUCGCUAACUUUCUGCAUCUCACUAUUUUUUUCCUUCAAUUAUUUGUGUAUGAAAAUGGACCAAUUUGAUAGUUUUUUAGUUUCUGUGUUUUAGUUUUUGCCAUGCGUUGCAGCUCGAUUGUGCGCGUGCAGUCCACCCAUCUCCUCCACGGCAUCCCUAGCGGCGUGGGCCUCAUAGUCCACAUCGACAGCAGAUGAAGCUCCAGCCAGCGGGUUUUUCAGAUUUUUUACCAUGGCCGGCGAGAGAACCGUGCGGCUCGAUGUUCCCAUUGGUUGCCCUGCAGUUCCUUCGGCACUGACGGGCGCCAAUAAUGUGUGUUUUCAGUAUAUUUGCAUUGUUCAUGCACUGCACAUGUGCACCUUCUGUAGUGUGCUAGACUCGUUCGUGCAGUGUAGAACGGGCACCUAUUAAAAAUUACGGGGAAACAUAUGCAUACAACUACUCGUCCAGUGUAGAACACAUGAAUGGAAAAAAGAAAACAAAAACUUCCCAGCAGUGCAGACACUCUCUAAUUUUUCUGUAAAAUCUUUCUUUGUAAAAGAAGUGCGCUCGGUGAACCGAAGAAGUACAAUUUUUCAAAAUAUUGA